rnacentral:rRNA from 1 species
GACGAACGCUGGCGGCGUGCUUACCACAUGCAAGUCGAACGAAGUGGCGAACGGGUGAGUAACGCGUAAUCACCCUGCCCUUCAGAGGGGGACAACAGUUGGAAACGACUGCUAACACCGCAUACGGAAGGAGGGGAUUGGGGCUGAUUGGCUAGUUGGAGGGGUAACGGCCCACCAAGGCGAUGAUCAGUAGGCGGGCUGGGGGGAUGAACGGCCAAAUUGGGAACUGGGAACGGGCCAGACUCCUACGGGAGGCAGCAGUGGGGAAUCUUCCGCAAUGGAGGAAAGUCUGAAGGAGCAACGGCGCGGGAGUGAUGACGGCCUUCGGGUUGGAAAGCUCUGUUAAUCGGGACGCGGUACCGGAAUAGAAAGCAACGGCUAACUACGUGCCAGCAGCCGCGGUAAUUC